UACGAAGGGGACUAGCGUUGUUCGGAAUCACUGGGCGUAAAGCGCACGUAGGCGGAUGUGUCAGUCAGGGGUGAAAUCCCGGGGCUCAACCUCGGAACUGCCUUUGAUACAGCACGUCUCGAGUCCGGAAGAGGUGGGUGGAAUUCCUAGUGUAGAGGUGAAAUUCGUAGAUAUUAGGAAGAACACCGGUGGCGAAGGCGGCCCACUGGUCCGGUACUGACGCUGAGGUGCGAAAGCGUGGGGAGCAAACAGGAUUGAGAUAC
rnacentral:rRNA from 1 species